AGUUUGAUCCUGGCUCAGGAUGAACGCUAGCGGCAGGCUUAACACAUGCAAGUCGAGGGGUAUGGUUCUUCGGAACCAGAGACCGGCGCACGGGUGCGUAACGCGUAUGCAAUCUACCUUUUACAGAGGGAUAGCCCAGAGAAAUUUGGAUUAAUACCUCAUAGUAUAAUAGCUCGGCAUCGAGCAAUUAUUAAAGUCACGACGGUAAAAGAUGAGCAUGCGUCCCAUUAGCUAGAUGGUAAGGUAACGGCUUACCAUGGCAACGAUGGGUAGGGGUCCUGAGAGGGAGAUCCCCCACACUGGUACUGAGACACGGACCAGACUCCUACGGGAGGCAGCAGUGAGGAAUAUUGGUCAAUGGGCGCAAGCCUGAACCAGCCAUGCCGCGUGCAGGAUGACGGUCCUAUGGAUUGUAAACUGCUUUUGUACGAGAAGAAACACUCCUUCGUGAAGGAGCUUGACGGUAUCGUAAGAAUAAGGAUCGGCUAACUCCGUGCCAGCAGCCGCGGUAAUACGGAGGAUCCAAGCGUUAUCCGGAAUCAUUGGGUUUAAAGGGUCCGUAGGCGGUUUAGUAAGUCAGUGGUGAAAGCCCAUCGCUCAACGGUGGAACGGCCAUUGAUACUGCUAGACUUGAAUUAUUAG
rnacentral:rRNA from 1 species